AUGAAUGUGUCUUUGUUCUUUCUUGUCAUUUCUGCCUUCCAGUAUUACUUGGUGUGCUAUGGACUAACCAGCCUUUCCCAGGGAAGAAUGGUUCAACUAAAGAACACACAGUGCAAUUUAUUUUUUUUACCAUUUGCAAAUACAAGUAAACAGAGUAAUGUAACUUGUCGUUCCAAUGCUAAACACAGUCUGAGGAAAGGAAAACACUUCAUCUGGUUGCUUUAUGGCCAUCUCCCACACUUUAAGGAUGUCUUGAAGGGAAAUCUAAAUAUGGGUGAGUUACAAAAGGAUACAGAGAGUCUUUCCAACUUAAAAUAUACUAUGUAUUGUUAUAGUUUACUUCCAGGGAGGGACUGAAGCCCAUUCAUCUCCUAACAGGCCAGCUGAGGGUACUGCAAUAUUUCACCGCUGACUGCGGGCACUGUGGCACUCCCAGCACGUGGCCGCUGCUGAGCCCCGUCUUGUGCAGGGAAACAGGGCCUGAUGGAUAACUACAGCUUUCUCCUCUCCUUUCUGGCACUUCUUUGUGGCAAUGUUUUUUUCCUUAUGCAGUAGUUAGUUUUCAGCAUUUCAGGAAAGCUCUGUGUGCUCUUGGCAUGGAUGCAGUAACAGGUAUGAAAAUGCCUUCACUCCAGCUUGGCAUUGCCUGGCCAUAGCUCAGGUGCCAGGUGUUAAUGGAGUUCUGCUCUGAAUUCAUACAGACAAUUUCAGAGUAAAGACACAGCACUAAACUGCUUACCAGAUUACAUUGUAUUUGUUAAAUGUUUACUGCCAACAGUUUAUAGCCUCUCUGGAGACAGAUGAUUAUGUUUUCCACCCUAUUAUGAAAAUAAAUCUCCUCUCUUCCUCAGGAUGCAUUUUCUGUUUAAGCAAAAUUAAGUAUCUGAUCUUUUGAAAGACAUGCUGUGGUUACAUCACCGCCUAUAUUUCCUUUAGUAGUGAUCUCAAAGAAAUUUGGGAAGAUAGUAAAACUUUCUGCAAGACUCUUAAUUAUUAGGGCUGAAUAGAGCCAAAAGUACAACUUCCAGAAUAUUCACCCUCAGCCUGGCAUGCUUCUGUGUUGUUAGGUGUGCUAUUUAAGCAUGCUGUUAUAUUUCCAGGACUUCGGAUUGGUUUUUUUUCAUGAUGUUAUAGGAUAGCAUUUUUCAAAUAGAUGAUUUUUGGUGUGAAUAAUUUGCAAAGGGAUCCUUGAUUCCUGUGGAGGCUAAUGCAAACAAGCUUCCUGAUAUUUGGCUUCUUCUAUAAAGAGCCAUGUAAGGGAAUGAACAGCACUUCAUAUUUUAACAACAGGGAAACACUUUUCUAGGAUGUGCCCUUUUCAUAUAUUCAGGUGCAAAGUGUGCCUCUGAUACCACUGAGAGCCUCUGGACCUCUGGUACAUGAACCUCUUGAGAACCCCAGCUGCAGAGAUUGCACAAAUAGGUUAAAGCAGCACUGUUUGGAUCCCACCACACAGAAAACUUCUUGUUUAAUAUUUCCAGCUGGGGGUGGAAAGAUAUCCUUCCUGCCUGGAAUGAUCUCUGGGGUAUUAGCUAAACAUUACCAGGUUUAUCGCCAAACUGAAAUGUGGAAGUCAUGGAUUAAUGUCCUUUUUGUGCAACUUCUCAGCUAAUUACUUAAUUCUGAGCAUGAGGGGUUCCCCUGACCAUGUGUGUGUUUUCUGUUUUCAGCUACAUGACUAUGCUUGUAAGAUUGAAAUUUUGUUUGAAAUAGCUGGGGUUUGACAUGAUUAUUUAGGGUGUUUCAUACCCUAUCUAAUAGAUAGAAAUUGCAAGGUGCUGGGCAAACUCACUAUGCUGGUUCAUACUGGUUCAAAAAAAUGCACGUAGGAGCUAUGUCCUAGACUUACACAGGCUGUUUGAAUUCUUAUUAUAUAAGCUAUAUGGAAGUUAUUAUAUAAGGUAUUAUAACACUUUCUUUUGGCUGUGGUAUUGUUUGUUCUCCUGUACCUGGCAAGAAAUCAACAUACCUAACAUAUUUUUCACUCUGACUUGGCAUAAUGCAGAGGUGUUCACAUCUGAUAGGAGAUUUGUGCUGCCGGGUGAUCCAGUAAUUCAACUUCUGUAUCCAUUAUCAUUACUUAUGUCACUUUUUAUGGGAGAACCUAAUCCAAAAAUAAGGAAAACUCUCUGAAGUCAGAUGGCUUUGGAUCAAAUCAGUCUCUUAUAUGCCUUGCUUCCUCCAGGUUGAAACAGACUGGGGACCUUAAUAGGUUUUAAAAGAAUGCUUCAUUUUUCAAGAUAAUGAUUUUGACUUAAUCUCAUUUAGUAUGUUAUAGAAGUGAAUUUGCCACAAAUGAGGAGCAGUACAUUUUAUAUUUAGCAGUGGAAUAUCUUAGCUAAUUUUUUAAAAUUAUGUAUUUUUGGAGCUCUUGAAAGUAAUCUUCAGUGUAGUUAUUGACUUGCUCAUACAUUAGUCCUGGGGACAGCAGGGAAAGAACAUGUGGUAUGAUACUGGUCAUGACAUCAUCCCUGACUCAAAGGUGACCUCAGGCUAACACUGAUAGCUAAGGCAUCUAACAGCAGUAGCUGCUUAAGCUACAAAAAUUAGAUGUAGCUUGGGAUUUGAAAGACCUCAAAUUAUGGGAGAGUUUCAAUGUGGUUUUAGUUUUCACCUGGCUUAAUUACAAUGCCCAGUUACCACAGGCUGCUGCUGGUUUCUUUUUCUAGUAGCAAACCUGAAUGCACUUCUAAUUCUCUUGACCACAACCCUUUCCUGAAGUCAUACCCAUGACAAGGCUUGUGACUGGAGUAAAAAUAAAAGCUGCUCACAAAGCUGUGACUCAAACAUUUCCAGACCUAUAGAAUAUUCCCAAGAUACGCAUUGCAUUGCCUCAUCUCUCCAGAUAAUCAUUCACCUGCUUACACACACAUGUGCUGGCUGCAGACUCACAGUGUGACGUGCUGAAGCCACAAAAAAGGGAUGUAGGUUGUUGUGGGAAUAGUUGGAAAAAACAGUCAGCAGGCAUUUCUGGCAUUUCCUUUGAGUUCCUGCAUUCUAUGCUUCCCUGGAAUAUGGCAGCUAUAGACCUGAAGGCUUGGAAAUGGAAGGGGAACAAUUACAACAAUUUAGGUAGCAUUAUGGGCAUAUAGGACACACUGAAAAAAGAGAUUAUUGAGUGAUGACAGUACCAAUUAACAAAAAAUUGGCUGCAAAAUUUACGAUUACCCCCUGCAUCAGUACAGGGUGGGGGGCUGAUCUGCUGGAAAGCAGCUCUGAGGAGAAGGACCUGGGGGCGCUGGUGGACAACCAUCUGUCCAUGAGCCAGCAGUGUGCCCUGGUGGCCAAGAAGGCCAGUGGGAUCCUGGGGUGCAUUAGGAAGAGCACUGCCAGCAAAUCAAGGGAGGUGAUCCUACUCCUUUACUCAGUCCUAGUGAGGCCACAUGUGGAGUGCUGUCUCCAGUUCUGGGCUCCUCAGUACAAGAUGGAACUCCUGGACUUGGAUCCACUGGAGGGCAACAAAUGAUUAAGAGCAUCUCUGUUGGGAGGAAGAGCUGGGGAAGCUGGGUCUGUUCAGCCUGGAGAUUACUGAGAGGGGAUCUCAUUAAUGUCUGUUAGUAUCUGCAGGGAGGUGUCAAGAGGACAGAGCCAGGUUCUUCUCAGUGGCGCUGAGCAAUAGGACAAGAGGCAAUGGGCAGAAUCUGAUGCACAGAAAGCUCCACUUGUGCCGCUGUGCUAAUCUGAAGCCUGUCGGAACUCAAAAUGUCCCUCAGACAUUUUCAGAAAUUCCAGGCCUUGGUCAGAAGCAUUUUAGACCCUGGCAAGCAGCUCUAAACAGCUGUGAUCUUGAGUUUGAACCAUGGAAUGAGUUACCAACUUUGAAGGUGGAACAAGCGGUCACAGAGGGUUAGAUGGUAUAGCAGAAGUAAUUACAAAUUAAAGGGAAAAAUCUUUUAGUAUUGUACAGGGAGGUUUUAACACUUGUACAGGAGGGUCAGAAGUUCUAAGAUGGAGGAAAGUGGGCCUGAUCCUGUUCUUCCUCCUUCUUCUUCCUUGCCUCCAUGUUCUUGGUGAUGCUGGCACUCAUGCAUUGGUUUAGAGGUUGUAACAUAAGUAGUAGGUAUUGGGGAAAAUCUGUAAACAUAUAAUAUGUAAUAUAUUAUAUAAAAGAUAGCAGCAGCCCUGGGCGGGGGGAGAGAAGAUGAAGACACCAGGCAGUGAGGGUGUCAGGAGAGUGUGUGCCUCUGCCUGGGCCGCUGACCAAAGCAGCCGCAGCGGGCGAAGACAAUCUUUUAGAUAACUAGCAAUAAACUGCCUUGAGACCAAACAACAAGAGGCUGCGGAGUUUUUCUUUGGAAUCAUGGGUUGGAGGAGAGACUUUACCACCACACGAGACCCCUGAAUCAAUCCCGGGGUUCUCACAGAAGCCCCCUGGCUUCCC
rnacentral:lncRNA from 1 species